UACGAAGGGGGCUAGCGUUGCUCGGAAUUACUGGGCGUAAAGGGAGCGUAGGCGGACUGUUAAGUUAGAGGUGAAAGCCCAGGGCUCAACCUUGGAAUUGCCUUUGAUACUGGCAGUCUUGAGUACGGAAGAGGUAUGUGGAACUCCGAGUGUAGAGGUGAAAUUCGUAGAUAUUCGGAAGAACACCAGUGGCGAAGGCGGCUCACUGGUCCGGUACUGACGCUGAUGUGCGAAAGCGUGGGGAGCAAACAGG
rnacentral:rRNA from 1 species